UACAAUCAUUUAAUUGGUCUUCUGCUUGAACAGUACAACACUUAGCAGGCUUUUGACUUCCAGAAAGCAAUAAAAGAGAUAAAACUACUGUGCACAGUAGUUGUCAUAGCUUUCUUUUUCUUGACGUAUUUUACACUUGUGCAAGUGGUUUAUGAGACAUAAAUUAUAACCUUAUAUGUAAUUUAAUUUAUGAGAUACAAGGUAUAGACUUGUUAGUUGCAUGCUCUUCUGUUUGCAUUGUUUUGCUUUCUUUUAAGUAAUAGAUGUGUUUUUUGUUUGUUUGUUUUUUUGUUUUUAGUUCAUUAUAAGAUGCAUAAAUGGUAAGUUAGUUCUAAUAUCCAAAUGUCGUUGCAAACAAAGACUUCACAGAUGGUUAUUCUACAUGGAAAUUUCUCUCGCUCACCCUUCAACUCACAACCUCCUCUGCUUUGAAAAGUUGCAACUGGAGGAAAAUGAGGAAAAAUGCUUCCUUGCUACUCUGCAAGCCUGCAUCUAUUUAAGCCAAGCAUAUUGUGGUAACUCAAGGUAAAAUGACAGGCUUAAGUUCCAAUAAAUUAUUCAGCUGUGAUGUAAACCA
rnacentral:lncRNA from 1 species